rnacentral:rRNA from 1 species
AUUGAACGCUGGCGGAAUGCUUUACACAUGCAAGUCGAACGGCAGCACGGACUUCGGUCUGGUGGCGAGUGGCGAACGGGUGAGUAAUAUAUCGGAACGUGCCCAGUCGUGGGGGAUAACGUAGCGAAAGCUACGCUAAUACCGCAUACGAUCUACGAAUGAAAGCGGGGGAUCGCAAGACCUCGCGCGAUUGGAGCGGCCGAUAUCAGAUUAGGUAGUUGGUGAGGUAAAGGCUCACCAAGCCGACGAUCUGUAGCUGGUCUGAGAGGACGACCAGCCACACUGGGACUGAGACACGGCCCAGACUCCUACGGGAGGCAGCAGUGGGGAAUUUUGGACAAUGGACGCAAGUCUGAUCCAGCCAUUCCGCGUGCAGGACGAAGGCCUUCGGGUUGUAAACUGCUUUUGUACAGAACGAAAAGGUCUCUAUUAAUACUAGGGGCUCAUGACGGUACUGUAAGAAUAAGCACCGGCUAACUACGUGCCAGCCGCCGCCGUAAAAC